AUCCCUGUGGCUCAGUUGGUAGAGCAUGGUGUUUGCAACGCCAGGGUUGUGGGUUUGAUUCCCACAGGGGGGC
rnacentral:tRNA from 1 species